CUCCCCCCCCACCGUUUCCAAGUUCCAAGUAUCCUAACAAGCCAUAAUUUUUUGUAGUGAAGCAAACCAACCAAGUUUUGAAAUUCUUCAACUUCCUAAACCUCGAACGACUCCGAUUUUAGGCACAAUGACGCCGUUCUUGUUUUAUUAAAUGUGAAUGUAUUACAGAUAACAAAGAGCAAUUCACAGUGAAAGAUUAGAUGCAGUGCCAUUAUCUAGAUCUCUUGAAUACUAUGUGCCUAUGUUAUAUGAUGUUGAUUGACAAAACCAAGCUGAAGUGACAGAAACUAAGAGGGGCUGCAAAUAAUUAAACUGCUCUUAUUAGCACUCUUGAUGAUAUUUCUAUGAAUUUUCAGCAUAAUUAUCUACACAAUAAAUGACCAUAUACUUUAUGCGUUAACUUUUAUCAUUUAUGCGUCUUGUAGAACAGGUUUUGUGUUCGUAUCAGUUAACUGAGGGUUUUUACUUUUUGGAAUUGAGCAGAUGUAAUGGAGAUAUCAUUGUUAAAUGUUCCUCUCAACAACAUCUCCCCAUGUUUCCAUUUUUCAUCAAGUAAAAGCAUAAAGAAUAUACUAGCUCAGAGGUAUUAUUGUAAGAGGAUCUACUGAAUAUUUUAAAGUCGAAUCUUGAGGCCAUUGUUGGUGAAGCACCUUUCUGUGAGAUGCUUCAGAAAGCAUUUGCUGGACUAGCUUAAUUUGUUGAUUAUGACUAGAUAGUCCAUUUUUUCCUUGUCAUAAUCAGCAAAGUGAAUGAUAAUGGGAUGACGGGCACUAAUAAAUAUUAUGGUUACAUUUAAGCCUUGAAAUUCUCGAGCUACUUAAAUCUUCCCAUCAAUGCCUUACUGCUGAUACAACUUUGACAUCUCUUGAGCACUGUAUACUAAAAAUUCAGUCUGUGCAUUAUGAACUGAUGUCCAUGACUAUCACAAAGGUUAUUUCAGCUCAAAUGGAAGGCUUUGGAGCAAACUGAGGAAACUCUGUGAAAAUAGUGGAAUGCCUAGGAUUAAAGUCGAACCAAGAGCUUUUGAUUGAGCUUGUGGCCCUUAAACAAUUGAAGGAGAACUUUAAAAAAAUGAAAAAGACUGAGGAAGUUGAAUAUAUUGAGCAAAUUAUAGCUCUUGUUUCCCAUAUGCAUGACUCUUCAUGACAAUGAAAUAGUCUUAGACCCGAAUGCCUGUGCCGAUACCUCCUAAUUUUUGUUGCCCCUCUCACUGUAGUUACUGACUGUUGGGUUCAUAGUAUAUGAAAGAAGUGUGAAUGGAAAAAUGGAGAGUAAAAUAGUGGAGGGAAGGAGACACUAAAAUGAAAAGUGUACUCUCAAAUUAGAAAGUUUACUCUUUCUCCCACAUUGGUGGAAGUAGAGAACUUGGAAGUGUUUGUAAUCAAGAACACUUGCUCCACAUGGUAAGUAAGGCAAGAAAUAAAAAAUGUCUCGUGUCGUCGUCGCUCGCUCGGCUUCGGCUUUGGCAAAUGAUUGAGCGAUGAGAUUUAGGAAAAAUUUUCUAAUACUCUAUUUAUAUAAUUACAUGCAGUAACAGUUGCAAUGUUUCGAACAGAACUGAUGUUUCAGUUGCACUAUUUCAAGUAACAGUUACAGUAACAGAACUGAUGUUUCAGUUGCACUAUUUCAAGUGAACUGAUGCACUGCUUCAUGAACUGAUAUGAAUUUUCAGAAAGAGGUGCAACCGAACUGAUGUUUCAGUUGCACUAUUUCAAGUGAACUGAUGCACUGCUUCAUGAACUGAUAUGAAUUUUCAGAAAGAGGUGCAACCUUUAAAGUGAACCAUUGCCUCUUUUCAGAAGAGGCAUGUUAUGGCUAUAUAAACCUGCUUUCA